rnacentral:sRNA from 1 species
GUCGUGAGAUGUUGGGUUAAGUCCCGCAACGAGCGCAACCCUCGUCGUAUGUUGCCAGCAUUUAGUUGGGGACUCAUGCGAGACUGCCGGUGACAAACCGGAGGAAGGCGGGGAUGACGUCAAGUCAUCAUGCCCCUUAUGUCCAGGGCUACACACGUGCUACAUUGGCGCGUACAGAGGGCUGCGAUACCGCGAGGUGGAGCGAAUCCCUCAAAGCGCGUCUCGGUUCGGAUUGCAGGCUGAAACCCGCCUGCAUGAAGGUGGAGUUGCUAGUAAUCGCGGAUCAGCAUUGCCGCGGUGAAUACGUUCCCGGGCCUUGUACACACCGCCCGUCACACCACGGGAGUGAGCAACACCCGAAGCCGGUGGCCCAACCCUUUGGGAGGGAGCCGUCGAAGGUGGGGCUCGUGACUGGGGUGAAGUCGUAACAAGGUAGCCGUACCGGAAGGUGCGGCUGGAUCACCUCCUUUCUAGGGAAGCACCUUCGGGUGCCGGCUGGGCUUCGGGCCCAGCUGCCUAGCAUGUCGACCGGACCUGGAGCCCGCUUUCCGCGGGCUCAUGCUGUUGAGUUUUGAGAGACCGACCGUUCCGCGGCCGCGUCCCCGUGCGCGGCCGCCGUUCGCUCAAGUCCUCUUGGCGGUCCUUGAAAACUGCACAGAGUCACACAUCGCACAGCGAUCGCUUCGGCGAACGCUGUGAGAGUUUUAUGGUUAUCACCAGAUCGGAGAUCGACUCCGAUCUGAUCACCGUCAAGAUAAUAAGGGCACACGGUGGAUGCCUUGGCACCAAGAGUCGAUGAAGGGCGUGGACGGCUGCGAUAAGCCGCGGUGAGGCGCUGAACAGCCUUUGACCCGCGGAUGC